rnacentral:rRNA from 1 species
AGCGAACGCUGGCGGCAGGCUUAACACAUGCAAGUCGAGCGGGCACUUUCGGGUGUCAGCGGCGGACGGGUGAGUAACGCGUGGGAACGUGCCCUCUGGUUCGGAAUAACUCAGGGAAACUUGAGCUAAUACCGGAUACGCCCUUUUGGGGAAAGGCUUGCUGCCGGAGGAUCGGCCCGCGUCUGAUUAGCUAGUUGGUGAGGUAACGGCUCACCAAGGCGACGAUCAGUAGCUGGUCUGAGAGGAUGAUCAGCCACACUGGGACUGAGACACGGCCCAGACUCCUACGGGAGGGAGCAGUGGGGAAUAUUGGACAAUGGGCGCAAGCCUGAUCCAGCCAUGCCGCGUGAGUGAUGAAGGCCUUAGGGUUGUAAAGCUCUUUUAUCCGGGACGAUAAUGACGGUACCGGAGGAAUAAGCCCCGGCUAACUUCGUG